rnacentral:misc_RNA from 1 species
GAUGAAGAACGCAGCGAAAUGCGAUACGUAGUGUGAAUUGCAGAAUUCAGUGAAUCAUCGAAUCUUUGAACGCACAUUGCACCUCUCGGUAUUCCGGGAGGUAUGCCUGUUCGAGCGUCAUUUGUACCCUCAAGCUCUGCUUGGUGUUGGGUGUUUGUUCCGCCUCUGUGUGUGAACUCGCCUCAAAACAAUUGGCAGCCGGCGUACUUGUUUCGGAGCGCAGCACAUUUUGCGAUCCAGAUCAACGUACAGCGGCAUCCAAGAAGCCUUAUUUAACGCUCUUGACCUCGGAUCAGGUAGGGAUACCCGCUGAACUUUAGCAUAUCAAUAAGCGGAGGA